GUGCUCACUUCGGCAGCACAUAUACUAAAAUUGGAACGAUACAGAUAAGAUUAGCAUGGUCCCUGCACAAGGAUGACACGCAAAUUCGUGAAACGUUCCAUAUUUUU
ensembl:snRNA U6 U6 spliceosomal RNA